rnacentral:rRNA from 1 species
AGAGUUUGAUCAUGGCUCAGGAUCAACGCUGGCGGCGUGCCUAAUGCAUGCAAGUCGAACGGGGUGCGCUUCGGCGCGCUCACGUGGCGGACGGGUGCGGAACACGUGGGCGACCUACCCCAGGGCGGGGGAUAGCCGCGGGAAACCGCGGGUAAUUCCGCAUGUGCUCCCGGUUGCGUAGCAACGGGGAGGAAAGGUGGCAACACCACCCUGGGCGGGGCCUGCGGCCGAUUAGCUAGUUGGUGGGGUAACGGCUCACCAAGGCGAUGAUCGGUAGCUGGUCUGAGAGGACGGCCAGCCACACGGGGACUGAGACACGGCCCCGACUCCUACGGGAGGCAGCAGCAAGGAAUCUUCCGCAAUGGGCGAAAGCCUGACGGAGCAACGCCGCGUGCGGGAUGACGCCCUUCGGGGUGUAAACCGCUUUUCGGGGGGAAGAACAGCUGGCGGAGAGCCAGCCCUGACGGUACCCCCGGAAGAAGGCCCGGCUAACUACGUGCCAGCAGCCGCGGUAAUACGUAGGGGCCGAGCGUUGUCCGGAGUUACUGGGCGUAAAGCGCACGCAGGCGGCGCGCUUUGCCCGGCGUGAAAGCCCCCGGCUCAACCGGGGAAGGUCGUCGGGGACAGGCGCGCUUGAGGGCAGCAGGGGGUGGUGGAAUGCCCGGUGUAGUGGUGAAAUGCGUAGAGAUCGGGCGGAACACCCGUGGCGAAGGCGGCCACCUGGGCUGCACCUGACGCUGAGGUGCGAAGGCGUGGGGAGCGAACGGGAUUAGAUACCCCGGUAGUCC